UUUUAAUGUACUUCAACCAAACCAUGUAUUGCAGCAGAUUAAUGUAGAAGAUAUGAAAUGGAGCUGACUUCUGUUUAUCCAGACAUCAAAAAGGCUUACUGAAAUAAAAAGACUAGUGUUAUUCUUCCCACUAAUACUUCAUUUUAGAAAUUGUGGUAAUUUUUAUAUAAAUGUGUUAUUAAUGUUGAUAUGAAAUGGGUUGUUAUUUUUAAAGGAAUUAAUAGAUAUAUUUUUAAAAUCUUAAGAUUUAAUACAGUAAAUAUUGAUAAAUAUAAUGUACAUAAAGAAAAAUCCUUUGGAAGACUCAAUUUUUAAGCAAAGGGAUCUCAAAACCAAAAAGAUUGAGAGUUAUUAAUAUAAGAUUUUUUAAAACCCAACUGAAGAGAUAGCUGUGUCAGAGUUCUCAGUUGCAGACAAGAGAAACCCCAUUCACCAGCCAGUUUACACAGAAAAAGAGUCCAUGUAAGGGUAUUAGGAGCUCCCCCAAAGCUAGAUGAUUCCUUUACCACCUUCGUAAAAAGGUGGCUUCCAUGCCUUCUCACCCAAGAAAAAGGUGACAUACUUUUAGCACUAAAAAUGUGUUGGUUCAAUUCAGGCAUCAUAUUUCAGAGUCCUCAUAUCUGGAAGGUAAUAAAAAAAAAAAAAAGGAAAGGAUGUUUUAAAGUAAAUGUCUCCUUGCUUGUGAUUGUCAGACAUCCAACUAUUACAGAAGGAAAUUCUGAGAUGGUACAAGUGACAGUGGUCACCUGUUUAUAUUCUGCAGGAUACUAAACUAGGGCAAGUAAUGGACCUUAAAUAAAGCCAUAAAGCUGAGAAACAGGUGGCGCCUGGGUGGCUCAGUGGCUGAACUCGGGUUGUGAUCCCGGGGUCCUGGGAUCAAGUCCCACAUCAGCUCCCCACAGGGAGCCUGCUUCUCCCUCUGCCUAUGUCUUUGCUUCUGUGUCUCUCAUGAAUAAAUAAAUAAAAUCUUUUUUUAAAAAGCUGGGAAACAUUAAAGGUAGGAAAGAACUGUUAUAAAUUCCUGAUUUAGAUUUCUAACACACCUGGAAAGUAGCCUUGCUCUCAAGAAUGAUAAUGACUAAAAAUCAUGCCUAUUUCCAUUCUCAGAUAGGGAGAGAGAAAAAAAUGAGGAAGAACAAAUGAAAAAUCAUGUGGCUAUCUUAAUUUUUAGCUAAGAAUGGGUUAAGUUUCUAGUAUCCAAUAACCAAAGAGACCCUAUUCACCUUUGAUUUGAUAACUGCUCAUUUAUUGUGUCCCUGGGAAGGUAAGCUCUGUGAGGGCAGGCACCAGUGUGUCUUGCUCGUCACUAUACCCCAAGUGUGUAGAACAAUACUUGGCACAUGGCAGGUACUCAGUAAACAGCCACUGAAGAAGGGAACAAAAGAGACUUCCUUUGUUUUUCCACUACAUGACAGCUAUUCUUCAUUCUUGAGAAGCCCCAGUAGUUUCAUAAGUGUGUGCCUUGGCAUGUAUAAGCCCCUCACUCCAAUACAAUAGAUAACUGAGUUCUCACUCACUGCACUGGGCCCAGAAUCUUCCUUUAAAGAACUUUUGAUGGAUCAGUGCUUUCUCUCAGUGCUUCUCAGACUUUAAUGUGCAUAUGAAUCCCUGGGAUCUUGUUAAAAUGCAGAUUUUGCUUCCAGAGGUCUGGAGCAGGGCCUGAGAUCCUGCGUGUCUCAGGUGAUGCUGAUACCAUUGGUCAUAGCAUUUUGAGGAACAGAGCAUCCUGGCACAGCCGAUUGUGUCAUUGCAUAUCAGAAGAUGGCUCUGUCAACAGACCGAGACUUGGACCAGUUCCCUUAGCGUGUAUCAACUUAGCUCUGGCCGUGUUAUCCCCGGAGGUGCUUGAGUCCCAGAGUGCACACCUCCCAGCACAGGUAACCUGAGGGCAGGCAGGAUUACCUUACAGUUCCACUGAGGUGUGGAAAAGACAAAAGGAUGGAUGCGGUCUGGGGGCUGAUGGGAGGCAAGGUAUUUACUUACCUUGCACCGGUAAUAGAGGCAAGGUCUCCAAGGAUAUAAUUUUCUUUCUCACUGCUGGAGACCGCUGAGCACAUUCUCAUUCUCACAUCUAGUGGAGAUAUUUCAUAAAUCUGCAGGGUAAUCAUUUAGAAUUUAAGUUCUUUCUCACUAAAACAUGUUCGUAGAAGAUAUGAAACUUAGCAAAAUGCAAAGGCUUUUUGUUUUUCCACAUCACAAAUGUGCUUCUUCAGCAACUAACAACUUUCAAAUGAUCUGUCACAUUUUGCAUAAUUAAAUCACAGUGUCAAUGGCAGUGAAUCAUUGCAGGAACAGUUGGACAGCGCAAAUAGAAGAUGAAGCAUGGAGGGAAGGAUUUCUUGGUUAGUAAGUAUCUCUCACACUGGGCUAACUAUUCCAGACCAGCAAAAGGAAAUAGAAGGAAAUAAACUCUCAAUUCAGAUCCACCAAAGAACAUUUCUGGAGCACCAACCAAAGUGAUCCCUGCCCUCAAGGAGCCCCCGGUCUUAUGAAGGACAAAAUGUCAACAACAAAAAAGAGUUCAGCCAUGGAAUGCAUCACCAGGACUUCCUCACUCUUCAGACAAGUGUGGUGAUUCACAACAUAUAAGAACACUGGAUCCUGACUUUCUGGGUUUGUGUGACCUUGGGUAAGUCAUCUAAUUACAAUGUACCUCAGUUUCCUCAUCUGAAAAAUGGGGAUAAUCAUGGUACCAUUUCGGAGGGUUGUUGUGAAGAUGAAGUGAGCUUAGAAAGGUGUGUAAAAUGUGUAGAGUAGUAGGGGCUCAUAAUCACUACAUGGGUGUUUGCUCCCAUUGCAAGCACUGCUCCUUGUUCUCACAGCUCCUCUCCAGCUGUACGGCUUCCCUUGCUCCAGAUCGACGGCAGUCAGUCUGCUCUGCCUGCCUUCACGAGGUACAGUCCUGGACACCCUUGGAGUUAGUCUUCUCUACUCCCACUGCUAGGACGUCAAGUGUUAGAGAAGAUGGAGUCAGGACCCCUCUUGGUGUGUCUGUCAGGCUCACUAUGCUCCCCAUUCUUUGGAACUGCGCCUAAUACAUGGGGUGAGCUGCCAGCCACUGUGGGCCCCUGUGCCCUGGCUGCAGCUGAUUGGUCUAGGAACAGUCUACUGGCCCCUGUCGGCCCAUUCUUCUCUCUCCCAGGAAGUUGACCUUCAAAGGGAGCUCUUGUGUGUUGAGCCUAGAGUGGCAGAACUUUGGGGAGAGGGCCCCUGACUCUCACUAGCAUUGCCCGGGCUUCCUCACUUCUCUUGCCCCCUGUUGAUUCACCCCCACGUCUUCCAAUAAACUCCUGCUCUCUCAUA